rnacentral:rRNA from 1 species
GUAGGGAAUAUUGGGCAAUGGAUGCAAGUCUGACCCAGCCAUGCCGCGUGGAGGAAGAAGGUCCUCUGGAUUGUAAACUCCUUUUUUGGGGGAAGAAUAGUUCUCUUGCGAGGGAAUGUGACGGUACCCUAAGAAUAAGCCACGGCUAACUACGUGCCAGCAGCCGCGGUAAUACGUAGGUGGCAAGCGUUGUCCGGAUUUAUUGGGUUUAAAGGGUGCGUAGGUGGUUUGAUAAGUCAGUGGUGAAAGCUGGUUGCUCAACAAUCAAGUUGCCAUUGAUACUGUCGGACUUGAGAGAAGUGGAGGGUCAUGGAAUGGAUGGUGUAGCGGUGAAAUGCAUAGAUAUCAUCCAGAACGUCGAUUGCGAAGGCAGUGGGCUGUACUUUAUCUGACACUGAGGCACGAAAGUGUGGGGAUCAAACAGGAUUAGAAACCCGAGUAGUCC